GGAAGUAAAAGACGUAACAAGGUUUCCGUAGGUGAACCUGCGGAAGGAUCAUUAUUGUAUAACCGAGGUGCGAGGGCUGUCGCUGACCCGAAAGGUCGUGCACGCCCGAGUGCCCUCACACACAUCCAUCUCACCCCUAUGUGCACCACCGCGUGGGUCCCCCUUUGGCUUGUUCGGAGGGGGGCUUACGUUUUCACACAAACUUUGUAUGCAGUGUAGAAUGUAUUUUCUGUUUUUGCGAUCACGCAAUCAAUACAACUUUCAACAACGGAUCUCUUGGCUCUC
rnacentral:misc_RNA from 1 species